AUGGAGAUCAUCGACGCUGAGCUGCGGCUCGGCCCGCCGGGCAGCGGCGGCGGCGGCGACGCGCAGAAGAAACGGUCGUCGUCGACAGUGGCACUCGCGGCCACCAGCGAGGCCUCCGGGACCGACGACCACGACGCCGCGCCGGCCUCCAAGGUUCAGGUGGUUGGGUGGCCGCCGGUGGGGGCGUACCGGAAGAGCACGUUCCAGUCGGCGUCGGCGUCGGCGGCGAAGGAGAGUAAAGGCCCUGGAGAGGCCGGGAAGAGAGGGAGGCUGUACGUGAAGGUGAGCAUGGACGGGGCGCCCUACCUGCGGAAGGUGGACCUGCGGACGUACGGGGGGUACGGGGAGCUGCGGGCCGCGUUGGACGCGCUCUUCGGCUGCUUCUCCUCCUGCUCUUCGCCGGACAACGGCCAGUUCGCCAUGGCCUACGAGGACAAGGACGGCGACCUCAUGCUCGCCGGCGACGUCCCGUGGGACAUGUUCAUCUCCUCCUGCAAGAGGCUGAGGAUAAUGAGAAGCUCCGAAGCACGAUGA
rnacentral:rRNA from 1 species